AAUGCAUAAUAGUCAGUUCUUAAGAGUGAAAUGUCCUCUUUUUUCAUAUCGAGGAAAAGGAAAAGUUCUUCUGCGUCCGCCAUCUCUUCCGUUCUUAUGAAUUCUCUCUGAAACCUCAUGCAAUUUUUCAUCAACACUAUUUCUCUGAGGAAUUCCAUUGAAGCAAAGCUAUUGGGAUGAUAGUGCUGAUACUUUAGGUUUCUUUUCGUAAAGAGAAGUUGUAAAUCCAUAACAAGAAAUUCGAUCUCUAUUAACCUAAAAUUGUUGCUUUUUCUUUGGUACUGCAACAACAACACUAAAUUAUUCCCGUGAAUUAUAUCAAUUUGGAAAGAAAUUAUGCUUUUUGCCGUAAAGUUAUGGCGGAGAAAACGAAGAGAGACUCAAAUUGUAGGGCUAUCUUUUUUGAAAACAUGGCUACAGCAGCAAUCGAUGAUUCUGGGUUGUCGAUAUAUCCCUAUGGUUCCUGGCUGUUUGAAUUCAACGCGUAAAAUAGCCUUUUCACCUGUCUAUUUUUUUUUUUGAUACAAGAACGAUGUUCCGACGAAUUUUCACCUGUUCCUCUCCGAUCAAAUUUUGCUUUUACGCAGGAACCUUGAAUUGCUUUACAAAAAAAAAAAAAGGAACCUUGAUUUUUUGAUUGUCUGUCUCUUUUAUUUUGAUUCAUCCUUACUUCCCUGAUGUUUUUAAUUAAGGUUUGUUGAUUUUUAUUCAGAUUUUAAACCAGGCCAAAAUAAAACGAUUAGUUAGUGAAAUUUAUUAGCUUUAGUAAUUUUUUUGGUUUGGAGACUGAUAGAUUAAUGGGAAGCUUAUCUUCUUUAUCUUAUCUAGAUUCUAGCAGCUUUCUCGCAUAACUCUUCUCAGAUUUGUAUUUGAUUAGGCUUUUUGAUUAUUUUUCUGGUGUGGUUUGGUUAGGGUUUUUAGUUUUUGAUGUUGUUUUCUUCACUACCUUGGUUAGAGAACAUGAAUAGGAGCUCUCUCUCCAUCUCGCAAAAAGUUUUUGAUUAGGUUACUCGGCAACAAAGUUUUAAAUUCUUGAACCACCCUCUUCAGGAAUUCAAUGAAGAUUUUGUCUCUUUUGGGUUUCUCAAUUAGCUUAUGAGUGAAUUGCAGUACUGGAAUAAUGACAAGCAGGUUCCCUACCCUAAAAUGAUAUUCAAUGAAUUUGUGCAAGAGCGCUGUCUCCAAAAGUCCGGUAAGAACCUGAACAAAUUAUCUUUGUGGACUCUCUCCUCUUCACAGACCGACCUAAGAAUAAUAUAACAAGGAAUCCAGUAGUCGCAUCCGGCAAUGUAAUUACCAACAUUGGGUUGGAUGGAGCCUGCAGAUUCAACAGUUGACACUUUUGGUUCAAUGUCCAUUCCAACGUAACCUCAUUACUGAACCAUUCUUUGCCUUUUUACUUUCUUAUAUUCGUCGACCUACACAUUUGGCAUUAACUGUAUGUAUCUGCUGUUGUAUACAUAUCCAUUCAUGCUUAAAAUUUUACGUCGUACUAUCUAGAAGAAUUUUAUGGACCGUCUGAUGAUGAUGACGACAUGGAUACACAGAGUAUUGUAAACCAGAAAGCUGAUCUAGACCUAUCUGGCUAGGAAUAAGCAAGUCUCAUUAAAACUGCACUGGUUAGGCAAUAAGCAGGACUCAUUAAAACUGCAGUAAUACGCACCUUUGUUCCAUCUACUUAUGAUGGAACAGCGUGUCCAAAAAUCAGCUGUCUCCUACAUUGCUAAGAAGUCAACCUUAUAUGAAAUGUGAUGUGGCAGAUAGCUAUUGAGUGGUGCAGAGCAGAUUCGUUGGAGAUAUCACACUUUGCCUUACAAAUGUUGACCUAUGAAGUGUAUGCAACAAUCAGUGAAUAUGCGAAAAAUCAAUGAACCACUGAACUGUACAAUGCCCUUGAUCACUUUUAGCUAAGUUACUUGAUUUUUCAUUUUCUUUUAUCUCGCUGUCGCUGAAUAGGAUAUAUCUAUAUAUUAUAUACGACGUUUCCGAUUUCAGGUUCAUGCUUGGUGAAAAAGCAUAUAACAUGCUUGGCGAAAAGGCAUAGAUGGUAGUUAGGAAUAUGAUUACCAGAAAGUAAGGGAAUUCAAAACACAUGGGUGAUGGUGGGUUUAGGACCCUCUCUAGAGAAUAUGGUUCCUGGGAUUGGGAUUCCCUUCCCACCAUCCAAAUAUGUUGUACGUGAUCACACCUAGAAGAUUUACACAAGGCCUUGAAGCUUUAUGAAGAAGAACAUGUAGCAGCUGGAUCCUAAACAAUUUUUUUUUUGCAAACACUUAGAGCACCCGAUGUAGCUUAUUUGGGACGUCUCGCAGCUGAUUUAUGGGCGAUGGACGAAGUGAUUUUUCCUCCAAACAUAUUCAUAUUCGAUUGGAUUCUUAUCUUGGAAUUUAAGGGUUCAGAUGUAUUCUGGAGAACACCACAACCCUGAGUAUUUUAUGAAAUGGUAUCUGCUGUCUUAGCUCAAACGGAAGAGCACGUGGUUCUCAACCAUGUAGUUGUGGUCGACUCCUACAGAUGGCAUUAUAUGUGAGUAGGCAGCGCUGUAUACUGCCAAUGGUUUCGUUAUUUGAUUCUCUCGGAGUGGGACUCCAACAUAAGAUUUGGAUGAAUAAUAAACUCUUGGCUAUGCUCUUGAGGUUUUGUUCUCUCGGAGUGGGACUCCAACAUAACAUAUGGAUGAAUAAUAAACUCUUGGCUAUACUCUUUAGGUUUUGUUCUUGAAGAAGCACGAUUCUGCCGUCAGCGCAUAUUCAACCAGAUGAAGUUUUGUUACAAAGUUCUUCAUUUAAUUCUGAUAGGUGCACUUUGGUUUCAUUCAGUUUUUGAAGGGAUAGCCAAUGGAAUUGCAGGUAUUCUACUAACCGUUGCAAUAUGCAACUGGACAAGACGUUCACCUACUUAGAAACGAUCCUGGGCUUGAUUGAGGGUGGAGAGUGGUUCUACAUGGUACAUAAGAAAUGCACUAAAAAAGUUGAUUAUGAUGAUGAGUCUUCCUACAGCAAGUGCAAAAAAGAUUUUGAAGAAGUGCCAUGGCAAUUGUAAUCCACAAAUUAAACCUAGCCGCAAGGGAUGCCACAUCAACUGCGGUAUUUACUGUGAUGGGAGAGACUGCAGAAAAAAACGGCGGAAAGUAGAUUAGAUGCACUGCUGAUGAACAUGUUAAUUACAAGGUACACUGCAGCGAGGUAUGCACAAAUUAACAUGGAUAAUUGUUAUGAUUGAAUGGAUGUUGUAAGGUGGAAUCAUGUUCACCAAGUUAUAUUGUCUAAUUGGAGGUCAACUAAGCAGAGCAGACAGAAAGUUGAUUUAACAAGAUCAAGAUGAAACUCUUAUUUUCAAAUUGGUCAUUAGGGAGUGCAGUAUAACCAACCAAUCUGGCAAAUUCACAGUUCUAAAAUUUUUCGAAGUCAGAUAAUUUUGAAUCGAAAGAUUCAGAUUCGGUUGCAGAUAACAAGGUACAACAUUAAUUAGGUACGGUAUGAUACGGAUUUGUCCUGUCUACAGGAUCCAGACGCAGAAAAUGUUGUGCCACCUAUCAAGGAGAAAGAGGAAAAAGUUAAGAGAGUAAGGAAGAGGAAACCAACAAUCAAAGUUGGAGUAACAGCAUGAAAGCACCAAGGACACCAGUCAAAACCGGUCAAAGCCGGAUAACUAUCAGGGAGACGGGCUUCUAGAUAUCAUCCUCAAGAAUCUUCCAAAUAAGAGAUAAAGAUAGUUGAUCCAUGAAUAUUCGAUCUUUCUGUUUGCCAAGCUCGACCUUGCGGGGGAGAAACCAAGGCCUUCGGACUGCAAAUUUAAAUUACCUCAGGGAGUUGUAAAUUACCAUUGGACCAAGUGUUGUUCUAUGUAUACUUUUAACCUAGGAAUCUACGAUGGCGUAGGACUGAGUGUGCACAAAAAUUCAAAAUAGGCUAAAUACAUUUGGUGAAUAAGAAUCUUAAAUUUCUAUGUAUACUUUUAACCUACAAAAAUUGAUGAUUUUUCUAAGCUUAAACCGUUAUAUGCUUCUUAGAAUUCUUGAUUA